rnacentral:rRNA from 1 species
UACGUAGGGGGCUAGCGUUGUCCGGAUUUAUUGGGCGUAAAGAGCGUGUAGGCGGCCAGGUAGGUCUGGUGUGAAAACUCGAGGCUUAACCUCGAGAUGUCAUCGGAAACCAUUUGGCUAGAGUCCGGAAGAGGAGAGUGGAAUUCCUGGUGUAGCGGUGAAAUGCGCAGAGUAUCAGGAAGAACACCCGUGGCUAAGGCGGCCAUCUCGUACG